GAUGCAAUCAUGGCUCCCUGCAGCCUUGAUCUUCUGAGCUCAGUCCCUGCUUUGAUAACCACAGGCAGCUACGGGAAAGAGUGGGAAAAGUGAGAUAGUCCCAAGAAACAGGCAACAGCAGGGAACAAGAUGUGGCUGUGGCAAGCGGCCAGCCAUCCCCGGUGCCGAGGGACCUGGGAGAAGCUAGGGCAGCUCCGGCAUUGUUCCUGCCCUGUGGUCCACAGCCUCGUCUUCAUCUAGCGUCUGCACCCCCUAACCGUCUUUCCAAAGCCUCGGGGAUGGCAGGGAAACUGCAGGGCUUGGGAUCCCGCAGAACCAAAGAGUUGGGAGAAAUCUGCAAUUUUGAGACUGAAGGAACAAGCCUUGUCGUUAUGUUGACACUGAAAAUAGCUUUAUGCUUCCACUCAGUGCCAGCUGAGUCACGGUCCUACUGACAUCUCCUGCCCAUUCAGGGCUUCCCACAUUUCAUCUCCCAGACACACUCUCCUGGCCCUUGCCCUAUUCUCCUUAUUGUAUACUUAAUUUUUUAAUGAACU
rnacentral:lncRNA from 1 species